rnacentral:rRNA from 1 species
UGGGUAACCUGCCUCAAAGAGGGGAAUAGCCUCCCGAAAGGGAGAUUAAUACCGCAUAAUAUGUUUAAGUCGCAUGACUUUAACAUCAAAGGUAUUUUCUUUUAAGAAAUUCCACUUUGAGAUGGACCCCGCGGCGCAUUAGCUAGUUGGUGAGGUAACGGCUCACCAAGGCAACGAUGCGUAGCCGACCUGAGAGGGUGAUCCGGCCACAUUGGAACUGAGACACGGUCCAGACUCCGUAGGAG